UUUGAGAUCAGUAACUGCCAUUAGUCGAAUGGAAAAUAUGUUAUUGUACAAGCCUCCCUACUUGAAACUGUUUCCAUAGGACAAGACACUGAUUUCUUUAAGGUGAAAACGCACGAUCCAUGUGCCCAAUCAAUCAAAUUCAAUGCUUUGAAUCUUAAAGAAUUUAAUUACUGUGGUUAUGGUCUGUCACAUAAAAUUCAUCUUCCUGCUUGUGAUUCUGUAAAAAUCACAUUUUUUAGAAGUUAGCAAAGUAGAAUCAGAGGUUUGACGCAUUCCUUUUACCCUUCUCCUUUUCCAGCAAUUCCUUUUACCCUUUUAUAUUAUUUUUUUCUACUACAUGGAACUGUGUAUGUUUGGUUAUCUUGAUUAACAGUUGCACACUUCAGUUUACUUUUACAAAAUUAAGCGUUUCUUUAUGUCAUGCUCAUGCAGGGUCUACCACUAGGCCAUUUACCUGUAUUUUCAGUGUUGAGUCAUUUGGAGCUUGGCCUAGUUACUAGUAUUGAAGUUAUUAUAGGCUUUCUUUAAAACUCACCAGUUCUGAAAACCUUAGAUCUGAAGAAGGGAGUACCCAAAUUCACAAAAGAGAUCCUGAAAUCUAUUGCUGUGCCCGGUUGCUUGGUCUCUUCUCUUCCCAAUUCUAAGGUUUUGAAAGAAUUUAAGAAUAAGUUGUACUCAUUUAAGAAAUGUUCCUCUUUUCUUAUCGUUGAGAUGUCAUAUGAUUAUUAAGUUACAGAAAUAGUAUGGUUGACGAUGCAAAGAGGUCUUAAUAAUGCAAGAAAAUAUGUAUAUCUUGUCAUCACCAGAAGCUAAAAAGAGAAAACCAGUGUUUAAAUAACAUAAAACAAUUGGACGGAGCAACAUCUGUCAAGGAACUUUCCUUCCGACGCGGCAGAAACAGAGCUGCUGUUCUUCAUACAGGAAAGAAAGAAGGAUUUUCAAGAAUUGUCCGGUGAUGACUAUUUUGCUAAGAAUAUUGAGUUUGCUACCUGGCUUAAAGAAGAGAAGAAUGUGUUUUACGUGAGUUGCUUGCAGAAUUUGUCAAAGCUUGGAAUAAAGGAAAGCUUGAAUCGAAUUAUUAUGAAGUCAUUAAAACUGCGCCUCGCACAGCCCAUAAAUGGAAAAUCAAAAAGUAGAUUUGAAGAAAGAGCAAUCAUUUUGAUCCAAUCUCUCUAUAAACCCUUUGUUUGUUUAGAUUUACUUGAAACUCAGUAAGUAUAGAUGUUAUUUAUCUAUAUAAAUUUCGUAGU